GUAGAGGUGGAAAGUCAGCGC
rnacentral:siRNA from 1 species